rnacentral:piRNA from 1 species
UCCUUUGACCUGUCAUGUGAAGAAGAGC